GAGUUUGAUCCUGGCUCAGAACGUACGCUGGCGGCACGCCUAACACAUGCAAGUCGAACGAAGUAGCAAUACUUAGUGGCAGACGGGUGAGUAACAUGUAGGUAUCUACCCUUUGGCCUGGAAUAACACGAGGAAACUUGUGCUAAUACCGGAUAAGUCUUUACGGAGAAAGCUUUAUGCACCAUUGGAUGAGCCUGCAAUUGAUUAGUUUGUUGGUGGGGUAAUGGCCUACCAAGACUGUGAUCAAUAGCUGAUUUGAGAGGAUGAUCAGCCACAUUGGGACUGAGACACGGCCCAAACUCCUACGGGAGGCAGCAGUGGGGAAUCUUGCACAAUGGAGGAAACUCUGAUGCAGCGAUGCCGCGUGAGUGAAGAAGGCCUUUGGGUUGUAAAGCUCUUUCGUCGGGGAAGAAAAUGACUGUACCCGAAUAAGAAGGUCCGGCUAACUUCGUGCCAGCAGCCGCGGUAAUACGAAGGGACCUAGCGUAGUUCGGAAUUACUGGGCUUAAAGAGUUCGUAGGUGGUUGAAAAAGUUGGUGGUGAAAUCCCAGAGCUUAACUCUGGAACUGCCAUCAAAACUUUUCAGCUAGAGUAUGAUAGAGGAAAGCAGAAUUUCUAGUGUAGAGGUGAAAUUCGUAGAUAUUAGAAAGAAUACCAAUUGCGAAGGCAGCUUUCUGGAUCAUUACUGACACUGAGGAACGAAAGCAUGGGUAGCGAAGAGGAUUAGAUACCCUCGUAGUCCAUGCCGUAAACGAUGUGUGUUAGACGUUGGAAAUUUAUUUUCAGUGUCGCAGCGAAAGCGAUAAACACACCGCCUGGGGAGUACGACCGCAAGGUUAAAACUCAAAUGAAUUGACGGGGACCCGCACAAGUAGUGGAGCAUGUGGUUUAAUUCGAAGAUACGCGCAGAACCUUACCAACACUUGACAUGUUCGUCGCGACUUUAAGAGAUUAAAGUUUUCGGUUCGGCCGGACGAAACACAGGUGCUGCAUGGCUGUCGUCAGCUCGUGUCGUGAGAUGUUGGGUUAAGUCCCGCAACGAGCGCAACCCUCAUUUUUAGUUGCCAUCAGGUUAUGCUGGGCACUCUAAAAAAACUGCCGGUGAUAAGCUGGAGGAAGGCGGGGAUGACGUCAAGUCCUCAUGGCCCUUACGGUCUGGGCUACACACGUGCUACAAUGGUGGUGACAGUGGGCAGCAAUACUGCAAAGUAAAGCUAAUCCCAAAAAACCAUCUCAGUUCGGAUUGGACUCUGCAACUCGAGUCCAUGAAGUUGGAAUCGCUAGUAAUCGUAGAUCAGCGUGCUACGGUGAAUACGUUCUCGGGCCUUGCACACAC
rnacentral:rRNA from 1 species